AGGUUUGUGAUUUCUGGUCCAAAUAUUCGGUCAGCCUUUGUCCCCGGCAGUGAGGGUAUCUACAGAUUCGAGGAAACACACAAAUUGGAUUAUACUCAGAUGAUGGAUGUAAGUGAUCAUUAUCCCAUAGAACUUGAAAUAUACUGACAACUGGAUGAAAAUAGCUUUGUAUGUAUGAUAAAUAAACCUUGAACAUGGCGUAUC